ACGGAGGGUGAGAGUGUUAUUCGGAAUUACUGGGCGUAAAGAGCACGUAGGCGGAUAGACAAGUCAGAUGUGAAAGCCCGGAGAUUAACUCCGGAACUGCAUUUGAUACUGCCUGUCUUGAGUGUGGUAGAGGGGGGUGGAAUUCCCGGUGUAGAAGUGAAAUUCGUAGAUAUCUGGAGGAACACCAGAGUCGGAGGCGACCCCCUGGGCCAUAACUGACGCUGGGAUGCGAAAGCUUGGAGAUGAAACAG
rnacentral:rRNA from 1 species